rnacentral:tRNA from 1 species
GGUGAGAUGGCUCAGUGGGUAAGAGCACCCGACUGCUCUUCUGAAGGUCCCGAGUUCAAAUCCCAGCAACAACA